rnacentral:ncRNA from 2 species
UAGAAAAGUAGAGGUUGCGACCAUUAUCAGUAUGGAUGACGAGCAGGCAUGCGUCCGAGUCAUUUUGAAAGGAAUGGUGGCCGAAGGGGGUUUUUGGCGGAAGACUUCCUGGGACCGGGUUUAAGAGGCCCGGUACUGUCAUUAUGAUGAUGCGCUACACACGAA